GUGAUUCUCCUGCCUAAGCCUCCCGAGUAGCUGGGAUUACAGUUUUAAUCAUCACACCAUGGUCUGCUUGUCUGACUCCCUUGAUACAACGUGCUGCCCAUUCGUCAGGGCCUGAGAGUGGCAGCAGCAGAGGCCAAGGGAGGUAUGGAGAGGGUAAGAAAACUCUAAGAAAAAAGGAGCUAAAGUUCCUGUAACAAUAAUAGAUGCAUGGAAGAAAAGAAAAGCCUAAAGUAGGAUCCUCCCAUGAAGAAAGCAAAGAGAGGAGAUUUCUUAAAACAAUAACUACAAGAGUCAAGAAAACUUUGCUUUUUACUUAUUUACAGCUUGUUGCAAUUGAGUAUACUCCUGUAAACAAAUUUGGAUUUCUCUCUCUCAAUCUGAUUUCUCCCUCUCAAUCUGAUUUCUCCAGAAUGUGGAAACUAUUUGUGAGUAUUCUUAAUUUAUGGCAACAUAGUUAUUUGCAUAAGUGCAAUAAGAAUGUUUUAUUUUAC